rnacentral:rRNA from 1 species
AGAGUUUGAUCAUGGCUCAGGAUGAACGCUAGCUACAGGCUUAACACAUGCAAGUCGAGGGGAAACGACAUCGAAAGCUUGCUUUUGAUGGGCGUCGACCGGCGCACGGAUGAGUAACGCGUAUCCAACCUGCCCACCACUUGGGGAUAACCUUGCGAAAGUAAGACUAAUACCCAAUGACGUCUCUAGAAGACAUCUGAAGGAGAUUAAAGAUUUAUCGGUGAUGGAUGGGGAUGCGUCUGNUUAGCUUGUUGGCGGGGUAACGGCCACCAAGGCGACGAUCAGUAGGGGUUCUGAGAGGAGGUCCCCACAUUGGAACUGAGACACGGUCCAAACUCCUACGGGAGGCA